GCCCAGUGAUGCAGUCUUGGCAGUAUGGUGAUCUGUCAGAUCAGGGAUUAUGAUCGCUUGCUUUCUGUUUGAUGGGUAAUCUUGGUAGUGUCAUAGUCAUAUUUCACUACUGUAAGGGCCCACCUACACUUACGUUGUCGUUGCUUCUACAAUAUCUGUCCUCCUCAGAGUAAUGAGAUGGGACUGGUAGGAGAUGUCAAACAAUGUGUGAAUGUCUGUUUGUGUGAUGUUUGAUUAUAUGUAGCAGUUGGCAAGACGAUCUAGUCUCUUUGGAGGGUUUGGCAGGUAUGAGCUACAAUCUUUGGUAAUCUGAGGGCA